rnacentral:rRNA from 1 species
AACGAACGCUGGCGGCAUGCCUAACACAUGCAAGUCGAACGAGACCUUCGGGUCUAGUUGCUCACGGGUGCGUAACGCGUGGGAACCUGCCCUUAGGCUCGGAAUAACUCCCCGAAAGGGGUGCUAAUACCGGAUAAUGUCUGCUGACCAAAGAUAUAUCGACUUUGGAUGGGCCGGCGUUGGACUAGCUUGUUGGUAGGGUAAAAGCCUACCAAGGCGAGGCUCCAUAGCUGGGCUGAGAGGCACCUCAGCCACACUGGGACUGUGAAGCGGCGCGGACUCUUACGGGAAGCGGGAGUGGGGAAUACUGGACUAUGGGGGAAGUGCUGAACCAGUACGGGCGGGUGAGUGAUGAAGGCCGUAGGGUUGUAAAGCUCUUUUACACGGGAUGAUAAUGACAGUACCGAGAGAAUAAGCACCGGCUAACUCCGUG